GACGAACGCUGGCGGCGUGCUUAACACAUGCAAGUCGAGCGGUAAGGCCCUUUCGGGGGUACACGAGCGGCGAACGGGUGAGUAACACGUGGGUGACCUGCCCUCAGCUCUGGGAUAAGCCUGGGAAACCGGGUCUAAUACCGGAUAUGACUCCAUGACGCAUGUUGUGGGGUGGAAAGCCUUGUGCGGCUGAGGAUGGGCCCGCGGCCUAUCAGCUUGUUGGUGGGGUGAUGGCCUACCAAGGCGACGACGGGUAGCCGGCCUGAGAGGGCGACCGGCCACACUGGGGACUGAGACACGGCCCAGACUCCUACGGGAGGCAGCAGGUGGGGAAUCUUGCGCAAUGGGCGAAAGCCUGACGCAGCGACGCCGCGUGAGGGAUGACGGCCU
rnacentral:rRNA from 1 species